rnacentral:rRNA from 1 species
GAUUAACGCUGGCGGCGUGCAUAACACAUGCAAGUCGAACGAAACAACUUUAUCGCCUUCUUCUUAAAGACACUGAUCGGAUUAUGGGCGAACGGGUGAUUAACGCGUGAUUAACCUCCCUUACACAAGAGGGGAGUCUUUCGAAACGAAGAAUAAUACCCUAUAAUACCAUAAAAGCACAUGCUAGAAUUGUCAAAAUGAUAGCGGUGUAAGAUGUACUUGCGUCUGAGUAGCGAGUUUGUGAGAUAAAAGCUCACCAAGACAACGAUCAGUAGCCGGACAGCGAGGCUGAGCGGAGACACUGGGACGGGAGCACGGACCGAACUCCUACGGGAGGGACAAGUAGGGAACUUCCAACAAUGGGCGAAGGCCUGAUGGAGCCACGCCGCGGGAGUGACUGAGGUCUUCGGAUCGUAAAACUCAGUUGUUAGAGAAGAAAGUGCGUGAGUGUAAAUGUUCAGGAUUUGACGGUACCUAACGAGAAAGCCACGGCUAACUACGUG